rnacentral:rRNA from 1 species
UACGUAGGCAGCAAGCGUUGUUCGGAUUUACUGGGCGUAAAGAGUGCGUAGGCGGUGCCCUAAGUCUGUUGUGAAAUCUCCCGGCUUAACUGGGAGGGUGCGGUGGAAACUGGGGUGCUUGAGAGUGGGAGAGGUUAGCGGAAUUCCUGGUGUAGCGGUGAAAUGCGUAGAUAUCAGGAGGAACACCGGUGGUGUAGACGGCUGACUGGACCACGACUGACGCUGAGGCACGAAAGCGUGGGUAGCAAACAGG